ACUAUUUUGGCAGAUAAAAUGUAAUGAUUUUAGAAGUCAUAAAUAUAUAAUAAUUAAAUUAUAUAGAUAGUA
rnacentral:tRNA from 1 species